AUUUAUCAUGUUGUUUGAACUAGAUUUUGAUACAAUUAAAUGUGUCGUCAAAAAGCUUUUAAGUCUCAAAAAAUUAAACAGCUCUUUUGAUAGUAAGCUAUAUUCCUGUAUUAAUUGAACAAAGGUUUUAAUUCUACCUUCUACAAAUAGCUGAGACAACCGUGCAAUUCCUGCCUGUUUCCAAUUGUUAAGGUUUAUGUCUGCAACUUGUUGUUCAACAAAAUUCAGCUCUAAGUAGCUUGGAACUUUCUUUUCAAUUUGUAAUAAUUUUUUUAUUUUAAACCAGCUAUUCAUUAAAUGUGUUAAAAUUGUGUUGGAGUACUCUUUUUUUGGAGGGGAUUUAGUAGUGUUCCAAAUUAAACAGUCCAAACUAGGGACUCCUCCUGCAGUAAGUUCCAUUUUAUACCAUCCUUCGUUUUUGUUAUCUUCUAUUUGCAUCCUGUAAAUGUGUAAAAUUGUAGCUGCUCUAUAAUUAUUUGAUAUUAAAGGAUAGGCUAAUCCUCCUCUGCUUAAUUUUUGUAUUAAUAUUGACUGACUCAGUCUUGGUUUCUUACCUUUCCAAAUUUAUUGGGUGAAACCUUUCUGUAUCAGCUCCAACCAAUUAUAAUGGCAGCAUUUGGAACAUAUAGUUCCAUUUUGGAAUAAUAUAUGAAUUAACCACGUUUAUUGUUCCCCAGAAAGAUACUUCUAAAUUCCUUUGAUUUUUUUAACCAUUUAUUGAGAUUUUGUAAUAAAUCUAAAAAAUGUAUCUCCC